UCUCCCAAAGUGGCUGUACAAUUAAUGCAUUCUGCUAACAGUGAAUGAUAGUACCUAUUGUUCUUCAACCUCCAGUUGUUAUUGUUGAGCUUUUCUUAGAGUCUUACAGUUCUACUAGGUGUGCAGUGGUAUCUCAGCAUUAUUUUGAUUUGCAGUCUCCUAAUGAGACAUGAUGUUGAACAUCCUUUUGUGUAAUUAUUUGCUAUCUGUAUAUUUUUGGUGUUUUUUGUCAAAACAGUGUCUC